rnacentral:lncRNA from 1 species
AUUUUCCUACUGAUGAAUAGGGAACAUGUUACAGUCACCAACCACAAGUGUUCUCUUUUCACUCCGUUUUGCUUCUUUUAGAUCCAUGGCAUUGAGAAAUUGAAAAAAUAACUAGAUCAUCUGAUCAACCCCAUAACAAUUUUAAAUAUUUGGAAGACUCACAAUUACAGUUACAGGUGACUGAAUCACCGAGAAAGGAAAGCUCAGGGAGCCGUCAGCUCCUAAUCACAUCCCUUGAGCUUCACC